rnacentral:rRNA from 1 species
AUUGAACGCUGGCGGCGUGCUUAACACAUGCAAGUCGAACGGAGUGGCGAACGGGUGAGUAACACGUGGGUGACCUGCCCUGCACUUCGGGAUAAGCCUGGGAAACUGGGUCUAAUACCGGAUAGUGUGGGAUGGGCCCGCGGCGUGUCCGCGUGUUGGUGGGGUAAUGGCCUACCAAGGCGGCGACGGGUCGCCGGCCUGAGAGGGUGGCGGGCCACAUUGGGACUUAGACACGGCCCAGACUCCUACGGGAGGCAGCAGUGGGGAAUAUUGCACAAUGGGCGGAAGCAUGAUGCAGCGACGCCGCGUGGGGGAUGACGUCCUGCGGGUUGUAAACUCCUUUCACCAUCGACGCGGUAGAUGGAGAAGAAGCACCGGCUAACUACGUGCCAGCAGCCGCGGUAAUU